GAUGAACGCUAGCGGCAGGCCUAAUACAUGCAAGUCGAACGGCAGCGCGGGUAGCAAUACCUGGCGGCGAGUGGCGCACGGGUGCGUAACACGUAUGCAACCUACCCCUAACCGGGAAAUAGCUCGGAGAAAUUCGAAUUAAUGUCCCAUAAUAUCAUGAAGUGGCAUCUCUUUAUGAUUAAAGAUUAAUCGGUUAUGGAUGGGCAUGCGUUUGAUUAGCUAGUUGGUGAGGUAAUGGCUCACCAAGGCUACGAUCAAUAGGGGUUCUGAGAGGAUGAUCCCCCACACUGGUACUGAGAUACGGACCAGACUCCUACGGGAGGCAGCAGUAGGGAAUAUUGGGCAAUGGAGGCAACUCUGACCCAGCCAUGCCGCGUGAAGGAAGACGGCCUUCUGGGUUGUAAACUUCUUUUAUAUGGGAAGAAAUGACUCUCGCGAGAGGCUUUGACGGUACCAUAUGAAUAAGCACCGGCUAACUCCGUGCCAGCAGCCGCGGUAAUACGGAGGGUGCGAGCGUUGUCCGGAUUUAUUGGGUUUAAAGGGUGCGUAGGCGGCUUUAUAAGUCAGUGGUGAAAGUCUAUGGCUUAACCAUAGGAUUGCCAUUGAUACUGUAAAGCUUGAGUAUAGUUGAGGUAGGCGGAAUUGACGGUGUAGCGGUGAAAUGCAUAGAUAUCGUCAGGAACACCGAUUGCGUAGCAGCUUACUAAGCUAUAACUGACGCUGAGGCACG
rnacentral:rRNA from 1 species